CCUGAAGGGAGUCACUAAUUUGACAGCUCCUCCCAGUUUAGUGUUAUUGGCAAACUUACUUAGUAUUCCUUUGAGCCCUGCAUCCAAGUUACUAAUGAAGAUAUUGAAAAGAACUGGUCUGAGUAUGGAGCUCUGUGGAACCCCACU